GAAGUCGGUGCCGCGAGCUUCGCGGCCGGCCGAGAGCGACCCCUACACUCGCGCGGCCCCGGGGACCCGCGACGCCACCUUCAGCGUAGCGGUCCCGUGGUUCGGCCCGGGAAGAUCAUGGAAGAGGCGGCGGAUCCCGGCUGCUCCCCGGCCCCGAACCCCCAGCCCAACCACGCAGUCAUAAAUAACCGCGCCAGCCCGGCGACACCUGGCUACGCGACAGCGCGACACUGCGGGCACAGCCGAGUCAGCGUAACUGAGGCGCGGCCGAGUGCGGGGCUCUCUGGGGCCCGCGCCGCUGCUACGGGCGGGGUGGGUCUCCGAGCUGGGCUCAGCGCCCGUCUGGGACACUCACAUUCCCUAACGGUCUCCUGACCUCAGGAAACUCAAGGUCUUGACUCAAGGUCGUGAACGAUUUGCAAUUGUAUCUUCACAUAUACGACACAAAUGAGGUAUAAGCAUUUGGCUCAAGUCAUAACGAUUGCAAAUUAAGGCAAACACUUUGACGACUGAAGGGCAGCUUCCGGACUUUUGAUGGGAGAAGGCUAAUGCUGUUUUUUAGAAGCAUUAGCACACCCGCGGUCACUUAAUUCAACAAAUCAGAACUGUCUUGUGCAUAUAAAAGUUAAAAAUUUUAAAACUUCUGUGAAUAAAGAUAAAAUCUUGAACGAUACCCUGAUUUUUCAGGGAAGCGCUGUUUGUAUAAAUAUAAAAUAAAUGAGAAGCGUAUUGUGUCAUCU
rnacentral:lncRNA from 1 species